AACGAACGCUGGCGGCAUGCCUAACACAUGCAAGUCGAACGAGAUCUUCGGGUCUAGUGGCGCACGGGUGCGUAACGCGUGGGAAUCUGCCCUUUGGUUCGGAAUAACAGUUGGAAACGACUGCUAAUACCGGAUGAUGACGAAAGUCCAAAGAUUUAUCGCCAGAGGAUGAGCCCGCGUAGGAUUAGCUAGUUGGUGUGGUAAAGGCGCACCAAGGCGACGAUCCUUAGCUGGUCUGGGAGGAUGAUCAGCCACACUGGGACUGAGACACGGCCCAGACUCCUACGGGAGGCAGCAGUGGGGAAUAUUGGACAAUGGGCGAAAGCCUGAUCCAGCAAUGCCGCGUGAGUGAUGAAGGCCUUAGGGUUGUAAAGCUCUUUUACCCGGGAUGAUAAUGACAGUACCGGGAGAAUAAGCUCCGGCUAACUCCAUGCCAGCCGCCGCAGUAA
rnacentral:rRNA from 1 species